rnacentral:antisense_RNA from 1 species
CUCUUCGAAAGUCUUCCAUUCUUCAAACUAGAUUAUUUAAAAAUGAAAAAGGAAGAAAGGAAAGCGAGGUCAUCUCAUUGCUCUAUCCGCCAAUCAGGAGGCUGAAUGUCAGUUUUGAACUAAAAGCCGCUCCGCUCCUCUUCUAGAUUUGGAAAACAAGCGAAAUUAAACUAAACCGCUGCACGCCUCUGACGCGACAUCUGGACACGGCGCGGCGCUGGCGCUGCCGGAGCUGUCGGCCCGGCCUGGCGCCGGACUAGUGUCCCUUUUGAUGAGAAGAAUAAGCCUCAUUGUGAUUCAACAGCAGAGAUCAAAGAAAAGACUUCUGUUUUCUGGCCACCAGAUAUAUGUUAUCUGUGCUUAAAGAAUUGAAAAACACACAUCAAAGGAGAAUUCUCUUGGAAAGAGAGGGUUCAAGCAUCACUGUUAGGUGUGCUGGAAUCCUUUCCCGAGUCAGUACUGCUUUCUAGAAGAAAACCGGGGAGAUCUAUUUGGAAUGUAUCUAACUCCAAAGGAACCAUCAGAGGUAACAGUAGAGACGGGGUUUCACCAUGUUGGCCAGACUGGUCUUGAACUCCCGACCUCGUGAUUCGCCCGCCUUGGCCUCCCAAAGUGCUGGGAUUACAGGUGUGAGACACCAUGCCCGGCGGAUAGAGAGAAUUUUGACAGAUUGGCUUCUCUCACAUGGCAAGAAACAUUGCUGCUAGCACUUCCCGAGUUCUAUGUUCUACAACAUCCACCACUGCUAUGUGUCUCACAGUCCAGACUUGGAGUACAAGUAAUAAGAAGAAUAAAACUUAAUCCCUCAAGUAGAUUCACCAUAAGUUAGCUCAGAGCAAUUCCAGUGCAAGUAUGGUCUGUGAUCCAAUAGUAUCUUACAGACAGCAAGUUGAACAUUGUGGGAUGCAUAAGCUAUUGAGGCCUUUGCAGCUUUCUGCUACAUGGAGGCUACGGCCAGAGUCAACAUUUAUGCUUUGCAGCACACUGGUCAGCUGUUUUUGCAAAUCAGAUUAAAUAAUUUUUAAAUGAGGCUGAGAGCAUGGGAGAUACUAAUGUGUGUUUCCUUGUGAGCUACUGCAUAAGUUAGGAAAUUGAAAUACAGAAAGAUGAAAAGUGAUUUGCCCAAGUAUAUAGAUCAAAACUGUGGCAGA